AUGUGGAACUAUGGGUUAUGGGCCCACCAUGUGGUUAAAAGUAGGAAGGAUAUUGACAUCUUGCACGGUCAUGAUAGCAAGACAUGUCAGAGGGUAGCCUAUCAGUUAUGUUGGCAACAAUGUCGAUACCAAGGGCGAGGGACGAAGAGAACCAUUUUCCUGCUCAUUGAACGAGGCGGACCAUUAGGCAAAGUUCUCGUCCAUCGGUGGUUACCGGAAUGCUAUCAACAAAAGCAACAGGGUCUUACUGACACGGUUGUACACCAAGGUGUUUACAUAAACAAAAGAACAUUACUGCUUAGAUCAUAUAGGUCAUCAGAAAGGGUAAACAAAACAAUGGAAAGGAAAAGGUGA
rnacentral:rRNA from 1 species